AGCGCGGGGUUUCGGGGUCCUUCAGCCGCAGGGACAAAUCUCCCCGUAGCUUAAAAUCAAUAAAGAGCCUAAACUCAGCGGCGUAUUCAGAUCUAACAAAUGUAUCCCGGGCUUAAUGCCUGCACCCCGGGGGGUUGGGCUAGACGACCCUGGGGUCCCUUCCAGAUCUACCAUUCUAGGAUUCUGUUCUGCGACUUCAAAGAGUCCUUUGCUGCGAGAAGCCGGCAAAGCGGGGCAUGGACGCAACAGCCAACCCACCUCACCUCUCGCCUACCUGCGAUUCCCGGCAACGUGUGGAAGUGGGGUGGCAACAGUGAAGUCAGGAAAACCAAAGGGGGGUGGGGAUACAGACUUUUUUUGCAUUGCGUUUCCAUCUCACCGCAGGGAUUACAUUUCCUCCAUCUAGUGUGCACUCUAUACGCUUCACACCUCUGAGGAAGAGGACUCUAGUCUGCCAAAGCUGUGCCACCAGCCAUUGUAGUGAUUCAGAGACAUUUCCUAGUUGUUGUAGCAGCUAAUAAACUUCACUAUGUUAAAUCUUGUCUCAAGGACUGGACAGAUGACAAGAGGACUUCAUUAUGAUACUUCCAUAAGCUAGAGGCACCAGGAGAAUCUAGGCUACGUUCAUUUACCAUGCUUGUAUUAGUUUCUCUGCCAGAAGAAGAAGAAAAGAAUCUUAGUGUAAUCUACAAUUAUCCAUGAACUUGCUUGCAAGAGGAUCUAGAUUUCCAAAAUACUUUAGGUACAUCUCAGUAUGCACAAUGACAAUGUAGGAUUUUCAGAGACUACAGUAGGAUUCCACUGAUAUCUGUUUCUCUGCACCUGUGUCUCUUUUAUGGCCUUGUUGUCUAGAUCCACGUGUAACGUUAAAGAACCUCAAAAAGAGGGAAGCCAAAAUAUUACCAUGGGGCAUUUGCUUUCUUAUUACAUUUAUAACAGUAGCAGUAGUAGUACUGUAGUCAUAGUCAGCAGAGUGCUUUUUAGGGAGUUUGUGUGUCUUGGGUGGCAUUUGAUCUGGGCAGAUUGGAAUGGAGCAAAAGAUAAUUUCAUAUUAGUAAAUACCACUAGCUGCAGCAAAAGGCUAUGAACACCGUGGCAUUCUCAGCUAGAAAAGCAAAGAUCCAUAUUGACAAGGAGUGUGCGCAUAUCUCUGCUUUUUCCUUUUAUGGACAGCAUUUACUAUAGCAUGUAAAUUUAGAUUUGCUAUAAUAUAAAUGGAAAUUUUCUUAAAAUAAAUGGACCUGCUCAGCUCAGCCUGAGGGUGAAACUGUAACGUUAUUCUUGCUAUGCAGCAAAGUGACAAACAAUAUUUUACCGUUUAGAUUGAUGCAGGCAGAAAUUGUUCAACAGAAAGUAAAACCAUUAAAACUUGGAUCUGGAGUUCUCAGACCACAGUUCCUCUGUCAAGGAAAACAAAUCUGCAUUCCUCACACCUAUUGCUCCCAUGUACAAAGUAAAAUAUAGCCCUAUAGUCACAGCAGCUAAAUCUUGAGAGAAAAUAAUUUCCCUUUGACUGGGUAGUCAAGUGCACCAAACCUUCAUCAGACAAUAGCAUCAAUGCCUGAAGAUGUAGAUUUAGGAUGAAGCUACCACUCUGGAAGUUUUACCACUAUGCUUGAAAUAAAAAUAGCUUAAAUGGAUAAACAUUCAUGGCUUCCAGCAGCCUUGACUACAAGCAAUGCACAUGUUACAGCUGCCACAUGGAGAUGGACCUGCUUUAAAUUGCCCUUUGUGACAGCUUUCACCACAUGGAUUGGUCAGUUUUCCCCACAAUGCAAAAGGCUCAAAAAGGAAAAAAAAGAGAAAAA